rnacentral:rRNA from 1 species
AUUGAACGCUGGCGGAAUGCUUUACACAUGCAAGUCGAACGGCAGCACGGACUUCGGUCUGGUGGCGAGUGGCGAACGGGUGAGUAAUGUAUCGGAACGUGCCCAGUCGUGGGGGAUAACGUAGUGAAAAUUACGCUAAUACCGCAUACGAUCUAUGGAUGAAAGCGGGGGAUCGCAAGACCUCGCGCGAUUGGAGCGGCCGAUAUCAGAUUAGGUAGUUGGUGGGGUAAAGGCCCACCAAGCCAACGAUCUGUAGCUGGUCUGAUAGGACAACCAGCCACACUGGAACUGAGACACGGUCCAGACUCCUACGGGAGGCAGCAGUGGGGAAUUGUGGACAAUGGGCGACAGCCUGAUCCAGCCAUUCCGCGUGCAGGAUGAAGGCCCUCGGGUUGUAAACUGCUUUUGUACAGAACGAAAAGGUUUCUACUAAUACUAGGAGCUCAUGACGGUACUGUAAGAAUAAGCACCGGCUAACUACGUGCCAGCCGCCGCAGUAA